UACGAAGGAGGCGAGCGUUGUCCGGAUUUAUUGGGUUUAAUGGGUGCGUAGACGGCUUAUUAAGUCAGUGGUGAAAUAUCGCAGCUUAACUGUGAGGGUGCCAAUGAUACUGAUGAGCUUGAGUGAAGUCGAGGUAGGCGGAAUUGACGGUGUAGCGGUGAAAUGCUUAGAUAUCGUCAAGAACACCAAUAGUGAAGACAGCUUACUAGGCUUGAACUGACGCUGAGGCACGAAAGUGUGGGGAUCAAACAGG
rnacentral:rRNA from 1 species